rnacentral:rRNA from 1 species
UACGUAGGGGGCAAGCGUUGUCCGGAUUUAUUGGGCGUAAAGAGCGUGUAGGCGGCCAGACAGGUCCGCUGUGAAAACUCGAGGCUCAACCUCGAGACGCCGAUGGAAACCGUCUGGCUAGAGUCCGGAAGAGGAGAGUGGAAUUCCCGGUGUAGCGGUGAAAUGCGCAGAUAUCGGGAAGAACACCCGUGGCUAAGGCGGCUCUCUAGUACGGUACUGACGCUGAGACGCGAAAGCGUGGGGAGCGAACAGG